UGGCUCUGGCAUCGAUGAAGAACGCAGCGAAACGCGAUAGGUAGUGUGAAUUGCGGAAUUCAGUGAAUCAUCGAAUCUUUGAACGCACAUUGCGCCCACCGGCAUGCCGGUGGGCAUGCCUGUCCGAGCGUCGUCUGACACCUCCCUUGGGCCCGCGGCCCAGCGUUGGGGCUCCACCCGCUGGGGGGGUGGUCCCUGGAAGGUAUCGGCGGGGCCGGGGCGUCCCCCGAGCGUAGUAGCAACGCCCUCGCUCGCGGCGGCCGACCGGUCCCCCGCCGCCACAGAAGACGCGCCCGUAGCAUGACCUCGGAUCAGGUAGGGUUACCCGCUGA
rnacentral:misc_RNA from 1 species